AUGAUGACAGUGGAGAUUAGAGGCGUACGUGGAUUUGUUGCGAUGGAUCUCGCGGUUGUGAGAUUGUCGGGAUCUGGUUCAUGGGUAUGCAGAGGAAUACGUCCGGUAACAUCGAGAUGUCGAUGGCGACUGAGAUCCGAAGCGAUGGUCUGCAUCUUCGUAGCGCGUUUCUGGCCAGGAGGAGGUAGACACGAGUAUUGUUGUUGCGGUGGGAAGCAGUAG